GGAAAAUAUCCUGCUCCACUCAUCUUCUCGAAUACCUCAAUGAGAUUGGUGUACUUCCUAUUUCUGGAAUAUAACUCUAUCAUACACUCAAAAACUGCAAUAUCCUUCAAUUCUCCAGCAUCAAAAGCUUGUCUGAACACCCAUGUAGCUUCCUCUAUUCGUCCAGAUCCAGCAAGAAUUGUUAUUGCAGUUUCUCUAGGAAUAUUGUCAGG
rnacentral:misc_RNA from 1 species